AGAUGAUCAGUUUGAACCCCAGGGUUCAUCAGCGAAACAGGUGGAGGAGGACUCCUGGACGACCACAGACUUGAACAGCAGCUGUGAACAUUUGGACUCAGAGACGCCCCCGACUGUAGUCAAAGUGUGCUGUGAAGUACAGGAGCUCUCCUUUAAUAAACCAGCAACAGGUAAAGCAUUCAUUCAGUAUGUUGAUUUCAUUUCAGUAAAAAUUGAGAACCUUAAUUAUUGAGAAACUCACAAGUCAAAUUUAAACUAUACCACACCAAAUACAGUAAGGUGGCGGGCUGCCAUCUUAAUUUUGAUCUCAUAAAUAAUAGUACAUCUGCCGUUUGGUGGACACUUUCACAC
ensembl:lncRNA